GCGAGGAUGGCGGAAUUUGGUAGACGCGCUGGACUUAGGAUCCAGUACCGCAAGGUGUGCGGGUUCAAGUCCCGCUCCUCGCACCA
rnacentral:tRNA from 1 species